rnacentral:misc_RNA from 1 species
CACUUUCCAGCAGAUGUGGAUUGCCAAGGCAGAAUAUGAUGAGUCCGGGCCAUCAAUUGUGCAUCGGAAGUGCUUCUAAAUGUUUUGAGAAUAGGAUUGUUGAAGAAAGAGGGUCCAAAAAAAGAAAACUACUGUUAUGUUUCCUGGGAAAGAAGUGGACAGCUUGCCCACUUUGUUCAAUUUAGCUUUGUUGUCCUUCUAUGUUUAUUAUGAUGUUGGAGUGAUAAUUUUGAGAAGGCAAGGAGUUGAUUGCCAAAAUGGUCCUUUCCACAAUUCUUU